AGAGUUUGAUCCUGGCUCAGAACGAACGCUGGCGGCGUGCCUAACACAUGCAAGUCGAGCGCGAAUGGAGCAAUCCUAGUAGAGCGGCGCACGGGUGCGUAACACGUGGAUAAUCUGCCUGGAAGCCCGGAAUAACCUGCCGAAAGGCAAGCUAAUACCGGAUAAGCCCACGGGGACUUCGGUCCUCGAGGGAAAAAGAU
rnacentral:rRNA from 1 species